GACAUGCACAAAACCUACACGACGAGAACCGCCAUAUAAGGGACCCUGAAACUGAAACAUUGUGAGAACACUAGACUUUUUACUAUCUCGCAAAGGAAAGAGAAGUGCAGGCAGCAGAUGUGCGGACAGGACAAGCCAGCAAGCUGAUCGACAAGAGCUCUCGCUAGCGCGAUGCUCUUGACCCGGCAGCCGGGUGGCUACGGCUAAGCCACGCACGCCCGCGACGCGCCUGAGCGUUCCAAGGUCGGGAUAAGCAUCGUCGACCUCGACCUGCCGACUUUGGACUUGGUCGUCGUCAACCACCGCGUCGCGCGCGCGCGGGGGCGCCCACGCGGUAUCGCUGGUAUUUAUCAGGCACGCGGCAAUGGCGGCAUGGCUCCAGCAAAUGUUCCGCGGCGGCAUCGGCGGCAGCGGACGGAGCGCGUUCCAACAACGCGUGUUUUGCUUCGAUAGCCUCCCGUCGAGGCGAAGGGCGGAGAGGGACGCGUGUCCACGCCUCCACGGCCGCGCCGAGCGCUGCGCGCGCGCGAUAUCGACGGCGUCCCCAUCAGACCACCAAUGAUCAUUGAAUUCGCUCUCAUAAGAAGUUGAAUUUUGACGGCUGUCACACUAGUAGAUAACUGACCUUCCAUCCAAAUAUUUUUAUCCCAGUUAACUUUGGAUCCGGGAUCAAAGUGACUUUAGUCUCGAAUAAAAAAUGAGGCACCAACGGGAGGGGCUUUAGUCUCGGUUGUAAAGAUCAACCGGGACUAAAGCACCCCCUUAGUCCCAGUUGUAACAGCUAGUGGGACAGGGGCGUUUUGUUCCGGUUGGAAACUCCAACCGGGACUAAAAGUCCCCCUUUAGUCCCGAUUGGACUAACCAACCAGGACUAAAUCCAACCGGGGAGGUGCUUUAGUCCUAGUUGGUAGCUCCAAUCGGACAACCACGUUUUCCACCAGUAUCUCCAACAAACCACCAAUGGUACAGUGGCAUCCCCGUAGGUUGUUUUUGUAAGUCACAAAAAAUUUAUAAGUUAAUUAUUUUUUAAAUCAAAAUCAGCAGGGAAAGCUCCUACCUUUUUUA